rnacentral:rRNA from 1 species
UACACACCGCCCGUCACACCAUGGGAGUCGAUUGCUCCAGAAGUGGCCACGCCAACCCGCAAGGGAGGCAGGCCCCCAAGGAGUGGUUGGUAACUGGGGUG